UACGUAGGGGGCAAGCGUUGUCCGGAUUUAUUGGGCGUAAAGAGCGUGUAGGCGGCCUGGAAGGUCCGUUGUGAAAACUCGAGGCUCAACCUCGAGACGUCGAUGGAAACCCUCAGGCUAGAGUCCGGAAGAGGAGAGUGGAAUUCCUGGUGUAGCGGUGAAAUGCGCAGAUAUCAGGAAGAACACCCGUGGCGAAGGCGGUUCUCUGGGACGGUACUGACGCUGAGACGCGAAAGCGUGGGGAGCGAACAGG
rnacentral:rRNA from 1 species